AGCUGGGUCCUGUGCGACGAGGGGUUACCAACCCCGUCAGGUCCGGAAGGAAGCAGCGGCCGUAAUUCCCUCGUGUGCUGCAGGGGUGCCUAGCUAUC
rnacentral:SRP_RNA from 1 species